UUUAAACACCGGUUUCCGUACGAUCGUUGAAGUUAAGCAACGUCGAGCCUGGUCCGUACCUAGAUGGGUGAGCGCUUAGGAAUACCGGGUGCUGUAAG